AGGGGAAGUUUAGCAAACUCCAGGGUAAAGUCACCUAAAGGUUGCGGGUUCGAAUCCCGGCCAUCUUUUUUUCCCCCUUUUUCGUUCUUCUUUCUUCUUCAGGGUUGAAAUCGAGAGAGGAGAUCGAGAUGAAGAAAGAAAUUGAGCAGAGAAGUUUGGGUUUGUGUCGAAAUUGAAGAAUCAGAAUAUGGGUUUCGAAGCGAUGGGACUUUGAUGGAGUUGUAGAAAGGGGAUCUCUGGGCUGUUAUUUUUGAUGAAUUUGAAUCUGUUAUAGGAGAUAAAGCUGCUGUGAAGAACAUAGAUCGAGAUGUAGAAACUAUGGUUGUGUUUACGGAAAUUUGAGUUGUAUUUGGAGAUUGACAUGGUUGAUUGGACAGAGAAGACUGGAAGAGGAGAUGUAAUUCUAUGAACAGUUGAGAUGAACAAGAAUUGGAUCUGGGAAGCGGAAAUUGAUGAUAGAAUUGAUAUGGAUUUGAUGGAAAUGGCCAUGAUACAGUGUGUUAAGGGCUUGAGGUGAAGAACAAUGGAUGCUGUCAGUUAGAAAUGGGUUUGGGGUGGUUUGUCAGGAAAAAAACUCUUUAAAGAUCUGAGUAAUGAAUUAGAAGAACGUAUUAUUGGAAUGCAUAAGGAACAGAUUGAGAAAUGGCAGGAUGAGAUGAAGGAACUGAGAUCACUGGAUGCGAUGAAUGAAGAAGCAAAUAAUCGUCUUCAUAUGACUCGCUCGCUAUUCCAGAUUGUUCAGAUGUGAUCCCCAUUGAUAAGAAUCAAAUGGUAGGGGUGAUAUUAAGGAACUGAGAUCACUCGCUGUCUGCUUCAGAAUGGUCAGGUUUUGAUUCUUGAUAAGGCAGUAGUAGUAUUAGUAUCAACAAACAAAUAAUAAGAAUUUUAGUUUACACGUUUGAACAUUAAUUAGCUGUAAGUUGCUCAUUUGCAUCGAAUUAUUUGAAUUGUUUUUUUAGGAGCAUGCAUCUAAUGUUGUAUAGUUUGUUGUUGUUCAUGAUAAUACUGCUUCCAGAUUCGUUUAUGUCCUUCAGAAUUGCAGUGGGCAUAUAAUGUUACUUUUAUUGUUAUUGUUAUUGUUAUCAAUUUUGUGAUCCAAUUUCAUUUGUGGGUCUGUCAUCCUUUCAAAACUGCUUCCCUAUUCUUAAUCCUUGAAAUAGAAAAUAUCUGGUCUCCGUUGCUACUCUUUUACCGGUUGAUCAACAGAAGUACAGAACCGUGCACAGACCACAGGAUAGGGGUCUUGUGGCUCUUGUUGCGCAAGAUGUUCCAGUGUGCUCUUUACCUGUCCUUACCCAUGGUCCUAAUGUUUGGAAGUGGCAAGCAGUGAAGGUUUGGCAGUGUUGUUUCUGGUGUUGUCAUCAGUUGGAGCCUGGAGGAAGUACUAUUGGCAGAAGAUGAUGAAGUUGAGUUGAGAAGAUAGACAUGAAAUGGUGAGUUGUAGGUGCAGUUUUGGUGUUGGGAUGUUUGAACUGGAAUGGCUUGAACUGUGUUGAAAAAUGCAACUCUGCAGUGAAUGAAACUGAGAUGCAGCUUCAGAUGAUGCAAGACAAUAAGCUGGUGCUGUUAUUUAUGAAUCUACAGAGUGAAUUUGAUAUUGCAGCUGCAAUUGCAAUGGAUGCAGUUGACUGAAAUGAGUUUAGAAGAUCAGUGCUGGUGAAUGCAGUUGCAGAUAAUAGUGGUAUUGACCUGCAAAUGGAGUUCAGGCUUAGAUGGAACUGAAAAAAUGGGUAGCUGCAGUUGGUUUGUGUUGAUUUGGUGUGAAGCAGUGGUCAGGGGAUUGUAGGUGCUACAGUGGUGCUGCAAUGAAGAAAAUGGGAGAACUAGAUACUGAGAUUGGGAAGAUAUGAAGCUUCCGUAGCUGUGGAAUGUGGCUGAACUGAAGUUGUGAGGCGUAGUGAGGCGCAGCAGGAGCUUAGACCUUGGAAAAUUGGACCAGUCAGCUAAGCUGACUCUGACUCACCAUCUGAUUUGACUCAGUGUUUGACCGGGUUGACUCAGCUGACCUGAACGGAUUGGCUCGUUUGGCUGGUUACUGGAAGGACUUAGCCGGUCACCUGAGCUACUUUCCCGGCCAACUUCCGGCGACCUAACAUCUCUUUUAUAGUGUUUCCUUCAUUUACAAAUAUGAAUCCAUGCAAUAACGUAGUGGUGUCGUUUCAUCAAUUUAUUCGGUCGGCCCUCUCACCGUGGCAACGGUUGUACUAGUAUGAAAAAAAUGUUAUCAUAUUUAUGAAAUCAAAGAUGUUUCCUUCAA